GCGACGGUGGUGUAGUUGGUUAUCACGUCAGUCUCACAGUUGCAGCAUGUUUGUAAGACCACUGAAGGUCCCGAGUUCGAGUCUCGGCCGUCGUA